GAUGAAGAACGCAGCGAAAUGCGAUACGUAAUGUGAAUUGCAGAAUUCAGUGAAUCAUCGAGUCUUUGAACGCACAUUGCGCCCCCUGGUAUUCCGGGGGGCAUGCCUGUCCGAGCGUCAUUGCUGCCCUCAAGCACGGCUUGUGUGUUGGGCCUCCGUCCUCCUCCCGGGGGACGGGCCCGAAAGGCAGCGGCGGUACCGCGUCCGGUCCUCGAGCGUAUGGGGCUUCGUCACCCGCUCUUGUAGGCCCGGCCGGCGCUUGCCGACACAUCAAUCUUUUUUCCAGGUUGACCUCGGAUCAGGUAGGGAUACCCGCUGAACUUAAGCAUAUCAAUAAGCGGAGGA
rnacentral:misc_RNA from 1 species